UACCUGGUUGAUCCUGCCAGUAGUCAUAUGCUUGUCUCAAAGAUUAAGCCAUGCAAGUCUAAGUACGAGCUCUCGUACAGUGAAACUGCGAAUGGCUCAUUAAAUCAGUUAUGGUUCAUAUGAUCGUACAGUUUACUUGGAUAACUGUGGUAAUUCUAGAGCUAAUACAUGCGAGAAGCGCCGACCUCGCGGGAGGCGUGCAUUUAUCAGACCAAAAACCGGCCGCGUCUUCGGGCGCGUUCGCCUUGGUGACUCUGGAUAACUUUGCGGAUCGCACGGUCUAGCACCGGCGACGGAUCAUUCAAGUGUCUGCCCUAUCAACUUUCGUCGGUACGGUAUUUGCCUACCGAGGUUCUUACGGGUGACGGGGAAUCAGGGUUCGAUUCCGGAGAGGGAGCCUGAGAAACGGCUACCACAUCCAAGGAAGGCAGCAGGCGCGCAAAUUACCCAUUCCCGACGCGGGGAGGUAGUGACGAAAAAUAACAAUGCAGGACUCGUUCGAGGCCCUGUAAUUGGAAUGAGUACACUUUAAAAGCUUUAACGAGUAUCCAUUGGAGGGCAAGUCUGGUGCCAGCAGCCGCGGUAAUUCCAGCUCCAAAAGUAUAUAUUUAAGUUGUUGCGGUUAAAAAGCUCGUAGUUGGAUUUUGGGCGCAGGCGGCCGGUCCGUCGCAAGGCGUGUACUGGACGUCCUGGCCUUCCCUCCGGUUCUCCGCCGGUGCUCUUGACUGAGUGUCGGCGGCGGCCGGAACGUUUACUUUGAAAA
rnacentral:ncRNA from 1 species